GAGUUUGAUCUUGGCUCAGAUUGAACGCUGGCGGCAGGCCUAACACAUGCAAGUCGGGCGGUAGAGAGAAGCUUGCUUCUCUUGAGAGCGGGCGGACGGGUGAGUAAUGCCUAGGAAUCUGCCUGGUAGUGGGGGAUAACGCUCGGAAACGGACGCUAAUACCGCAUACGUCCUACGGGAGAAAGCAGGGGACCUUCGGGCCUUGCGCUAUCAGAUGAGCCUAGGUCGGAUUAGCUAGUUGGUGAGGUAAUGGCUCACCAAGGCGACGAUCCGUAACUGGUCUGAGAGGAUGAUCAGUCACACUGGAACUGAGACACGGUCCAGACUCCUACGGGAGGCAGCAGUGGGGAAUAUUGGACAAUGGGCGAAAGCCUGAUCCAGCCAUGCCGCGUGUGUGAAGAAGGUCUUCGGAUUGUAAGGCACUUUAAGUUGGGAGGAAGGGCAGUAAAUUAAUACUUUGCUGUUUUGACGUUACCGACAGAAUAAGCACCGGCUAACUCUGUGCCAGCCGCCGACGG
rnacentral:rRNA from 1 species